rnacentral:rRNA from 1 species
AUUGAACGCUGGCGGCAGGCUUAACACAUGCAAGUCGAGCGGGGUGAUGGUGCUUGCACUAUCACUUAGCGGCGGACGGGUGAGUAAUGCUUAGGAAUCUGCCUAUUAGUGGGGGACAACAUCUCGAAAGGGAUGCUAAUACCGCAUACGUCCUACGGGAGAAAGCAGGGGAUCACUUGUGACCUUGCGCUAAUAGAUGAGCCUAAGUCGGAUUAGCUAGUUGGUGGGGUAAAGGCCUACCAAGGAGACGAUCUGUAGCGGGUCUGAGAGGAUGAUCCGCCACAAUGGGACUGAGACACGGCCCAGAAUCCUACGGGAGGCAGCAGUAGGGAAUAUUGGACAAUGGGGGGAACCCUGAUCCAGCCAUGCCGCGUGUGUGAAGAAGGCCUUAUGGUUGUAAAGCACUUUAAGCGAGGAGGAGGCUUACCUAGUUAAUACCUGGGAUAAGUGGACGUUACUCGCAGAAUAAGCACCGGCUAACUCUGUGCCAGCCGCCGCCGUAAGAC